UUUUGAGGAUCAAGGGGACUGGAGAGGAGCUUCAUGCUUUGGGUCGGAGAAGAAAAGACGAAGAAUUGGAUUUUUCUUCUUCAUAGAGUUUUGGGAAGACUGAGGCAAUCGUUGCUGAAGUCAGUGUUGUAAUGGUGAAUCGGGAUUUUUAAUGAAGUGGGUUUGAGUACUCUUGACUGUUUUGUGAAAUCGAGUUACGUCUGUGAUUGAAGGAUUAAAAGGGUGUUUAUAGGAUUGAGUAUGCGGACUGAAUGAAAUUUAUUGGAUUAAUCUAACAAGACAGUCAGUGGAUACAAGAUCGUAAGUACAAAGCGGUAUUGAAGAAUAA
rnacentral:lncRNA from 1 species